UACGAAGGGGGCUAGCGUUGCUCGGAAUCACUGGGCGUAAAGCGCACGUAGGCGGAUCUUUAAGUCAGGGGUGAAAUCCGGCAGCUCAACUGUCGAAUUGCCGUGGAUACUGGGUAUCUCGAGGGAGGUAGGGGCGUGCGGAACUAAUGGUGGAGCGGUGAAAUGCGUUGAUAUCAUUAGGAACUCCGGUGGCGAAGGCGGCACGCUGGACCUCUUCUGACGCUGAGGCGCGAAAGCCAGGGGAGCAAACGGG
rnacentral:rRNA from 1 species